GGAUGGGUGCGAGAGCGGUUUAAUCGGGCAGUCUUGAAAACUGCUGUGUCGUAAAAGGCACCGUGAGUUCGAAUCUCACCCCAUCCG
rnacentral:tRNA from 1 species